rnacentral:rRNA from 1 species
UUCCGGUUGAUCCUGCCGGACCCGACUGCUAUCAGAGGGGGACUAAGCCAUGCGAGUCGACGUAGCAAUGCGUGGCGAACGGCUCAGUAACACGUAGUCAACAUGCCCAGGGGACGUGGAUAACCUCGGGAAACUGAGAAUAAACCACGAUAGGUCACGAUUUCUGGAAUGGAUCAUGGCAUAAAUCUACAUGGCCCCUGGAUUGGACUGCGGCCGAUCAGGCAGUUGGUGAGGUAAUGGCCCACCAAACCUAUAACCGGUACGGGCUCUGAGAGGAGAAGCCCGGAGAUGGGCACUGAGACAAGGGCCCAGGCCCUAUGGGGCGCAGCAGGCGCGAAACCUCUGCAAUAGGCGAAAGCCUGACAGGGUUACUCUGAGUGAUUUCCGCUAAGGGGAUCUUUUGGCACCUCUAAAAAUGGUGCAGAAUAAGGGGUGGGCAAGUCUGGUGUCAGCCGCCGCGGUAAUACCAGCACCCCGAGUGGUCGGGACGAUUAUUGGGCCUAAAGCAUCCGUAGCCGGUUCUGCAGGUCUUCCGUUAAAUCCAGCCGCUCAACGGAUGGGCCGCGGAGGAUACUAUAGGACUAGGAGGCGGGAGAGGCAAGCGGUACUCAGUGGGUAGGGGUAAAAUCCUUUGAUCCAUUGAAGACCACCAGUGGCGAAGGCGGCUUGCCAGAACGCGCUCGACGGUGAGGGAUGAAAGCUGGGGGAGCAAACCGGAUUAGAUACCCGGGUAGUCCCAG